rnacentral:rRNA from 1 species
UACGUAGGGUGCAAGCGUUGUCCGGAAUUAUUGGGCGUAAAGAGCUCGUAGGCGGUUUGUCACGUCGGAUGUGAAAACCCGAGGCUUAACCUCGGGCCUGCAUUCGAUACGGGCUGACUAGAGUUCGGUAGGGGAGACUGGAAUUCCUGGUGUAGCGGUGAAAUGCGCAGAUAUCAGGAGGAACACCGGUGGCGAAGGCGGGUCUCUGGGCCGAUACUGACGCUGAGGAGCGAAAGCAUGGGUAGCGAACAGG